AGGAAACUUGUGCUAAUACCUGAUAAGUCUUUACGGAGAAAGCUUUAUGCACCAUUGGAUGAGCCUGCACUUGAUUAGUUAGUUGGUAGGGUAAAGGCCUACCAAGACUUUGAUCAAUAGCUGAUUUGAGAGGAUGAUCAGCCACAUUGGGACUGAGACACGGCCCAAACUCCUACGGGAGGCAGCAGUGGGGAAUCUUGCACAAUGGAGGAAACUCUGAUGCAGCGAUGCCGCGUGAGUGAAGAAGGCCUUUGGGUUGUAAAGCUCUUUCGUCGGGGAAGAAAAUGACUGUACCCGAAUAAGAAGGUCCGGCUAACU
rnacentral:rRNA from 1 species